rnacentral:rRNA from 1 species
AAGUCGAACGCGAAAGCCUGGGCAACUGGGCGAGUAGAGUGGCGCACGGGUGAGUAACACGUGGGUAACCUACCUUCGAGUGGGGAAUAACUCCUCGAAAGGGGAGCUAAUACCGCAUAAGACCACGACCUCUUCGGGGGUCGCGAGCAAAGGUGGCCUCAUCACGCAGAGGGUUGGGGACGAUCUUCCCGAGCGGAGGAUAGUCCUUAGCGCUUUGCCCAGUGAAGCUGCUGUUCGAAGAGGGGCCCGCGUCCCAUCAGCUAGUUGGUAGGGUAAUGGCCUACCAAGGCGACAACGGGUAGCUGGUCUGAGAGGACGACCAGCCACACGGGAAUUGAGAUACGGUCCCGACUCCUACGGGAGGCAGCAGUGGGGAAUCUUGGGCAAUGGGGGAAACCCUGACCCAGCGACGCCGCGUGGGGGAUGAAGGCUUUCGGGUCGUAAACCCCUGUUAGGUGGGACGAACGUCCCCCUGCAAAUAGCUGGGGGAUUUGACGGUACCACCAGAGAAAGCCCCGGCUAACUCCGUGCCAGCAGCCGCGGUUAAUACGGAGGGGGCGAGUGUUGUUCGGAAUUACUGGGCGUAAAGGGCGCGCAGGCGGCCUGGCAUGUCGAGUGUGAAUCCCUCGGCUUAACUGAGGAAUGGCGCUCGAACUACCUCCCUGGAGGGCGGGAAAGGGAAGUGGAACUCUCGGUGUAGGGGGUGAAUUCUGUAGAUAUCGAAAGGAACACCGGUGGCAAAGGCGCUUUCUUGGCC